rnacentral:rRNA from 1 species
GUCAGCAGCCGCGGGAACACCGGCGGCCCGAGUGGUGAUCGUGAUUAUUGGGUCUAAAGGGUCCGUAGCCGGUUUGGUCCAGUCCUCCGGGAAAUCUCAUAGCUCAACGUAUUAGGCUUUCGGGGGAUACUGCCAGACUUGGAACCGGGAGAGGUAAGAGGUACUACAGGGGUAGGAGUGAAAUCUUGUAAUCCCUGUGGGACCACCUGUGGCGAAGGCGUCUUACCAGAACGGGUUCGACGGUGAGGGACGAAAGCUGGGGGCACGAACCGGAUUAGAUACCCGGGUAGUCCCAGCCGUAAACGAUGCUCGCUAGGUGUCAGGCAUGGCGCGACCGUGUCUGGUGCCGCAGGGAAGCCGUGAAGCGAGCCACCUGGGAAGUACGGCCGCAAGGCUGAAACUUAAAGGAAUUGGCGGGGGAGCACAACAACGGGGUUGGAGCCUGCGGUUUAAUUGGACUCAACGCCGGACAACUCACCGGGGGCGACAGCAAUAUGUAGGCCAAGCUGAAGACUUUGCCUGAAUCGCUGAGAGGAGGUGCAUGG